AGCAGCCGCGGUAAUUCCAGCUCCAAUAGCGUAUAUUAAAGUUGCUGCAGUUAAAAAGCUCGUAGUUGAAUUUCGGGACCAUCAUGUCGGUCGUGCCUCGGUACGUACUGGCAUUGUUGGUUUCUCCCUUCUGACGAACCAUGAUGUCAUUUAUUUGGUGUUGUGGGGAAUCAGGACUGUUACUUUGAAAAAAUUAGAGUGUUUAAAGCAAGCUAACGCUUGAAUACAUUAGCAUGGAAUAAUGAAAUAGGGCGUUCGAUCCUAUUUUGUUGGUUUCUAGGAUUGACGCAAUGAUUAAUAGGGAUAGUUGGGGGCAUUAGUAUUCAAUUGUCAGAGGUGAAAUUCUUGGAUUUAUUAAAGACUAACUACUGCGAAAGCAUUUGCCAAGGAUGUUUUCAUUAAUCAAGAACGAAAGUUAGGGGAUCGAAGACGAUCAGAUACCGUCGUAGUCUU
rnacentral:rRNA from 1 species